GUGGGGAAUUUUGGACAAUGGGGGCAACCCUGAUCCAGCCAUCCCGCGUGUGCGAUGAAGGCCUUCGGGUUGUAAAGCACUUUUGGCAGGGAAGAAAAGUUUCGGGCUAAUACCCUGGAGCGAUGACGGUACCUGCAGAAUAAUCACCGGCUAACUACGUGCCAGCAGCCGCGGUAAUACGUAGGGUGCAAGCGUUAAUCGGAAUUACUGGGCGUAAAGCGUGCGCAAGCGGUUCGGAAAGAAAGAUGUGAAAUCCCAGGGCUUAACCUUGGAACUGCAUUUUUAACUGUCGAACUCGAGUAUGUCAGAGGGGGGUAGAAUUCCACGUGUAGCAGUGAAAUGCGUAGAGAUGUGGAGGAAUACCGAUGGCGAAGGCAGCCCCCUGGGAUAAUACUGACGCUCAUGCACGAAAGCGUGGGGAGCAAACAGGAUUAGAUACCCUGGUAGUCC
rnacentral:rRNA from 1 species